GUGUGUAUGUGUGUGCAUGUAUAUGUGUGUACAUGGGUAUGCAUGUGUGCAUGUGUGUAUGUGUGUACAUGUGUAUGUUUGUGUGUGUGCAUGUGUAUGUGUGUACAUGUGUAUGUGUGU
rnacentral:miRNA from 1 species